UUAAAGGGUCCGUAGGCGGGCAGUUAAGUCAGUGGGAAAGUCUUUCGCUCAACGGGAGAACUGCCAUUGAUACUGAUUGUCUUGAGUUAUUAUGAAGUGGUUAGAAUGAGUAGUGUAGCGGUGAAAUGCAUAGAUAUUACUCAGAAUACCGAUUGCGAAGGCAGAUCACUAAUAAUAUACUGACGCUGAUGGACGAAAGCGUAGGUAGCGAACAGGAUUAGAUACCCUGGUAGUCUACGCCGUAAACGAUGGUUACUAGCUGUUCGGCCCAAUUGAGGGCUGAGUGGUUAAGCGAAAGUGAUAAGUAACCCACCUGGGGAGUACGUUCGCAAGAAUGAAACUCAAAGGAAUUGACGGGGGCCCGCACAAGCGGUGGAGCAUGUGGUUUAAUUCGAUGAUACGCGAGGAACCUUACCAGGGCUUAAAUGUAGUCUGACAGGUCUGGAAACAGACUUUUCUUCGGACAGAUUACAAGGUGCUGCAUGGUUGUCGUCAGCUCGUGCCGUGAGGUGUCAGGUUAAGUCCUAUAACGAGCGCAACCCCUGUGGUUAGUUGCCAGCGAGUAAUGUCGGGAACUCUAGCCAGACUGCCGGUGCAAACCGCGAGGAAGGUGGGGAUGACGUCAAAUCAUCACGGCCCUUACGUCCUGGGCCACACACGUGCUACAAUGGUAGGGACAGAGAGCAGCCACUUCGCGAGAAGGAGCGAAUCUACAAACCCUAUCACAGUUCGGAUCGCAGUCUGCAACUCGACUGCGUGAAGCUGGAAUCGCUAGUAAUCGCAUAUCAGCCAUGAUGCGGUGAAUACGUUCCCGGGCCUUGUACACACCGCCCGUCAAGCCAUGGAAGCCGGGGGUACCUGAAGUCGGUCACCGCAAGGAGCCGCCUAGGGUAAAACUGGUAACUGGGGCUAAGUCGUAACAAGGUAACC
rnacentral:rRNA from 1 species